AUUGAACGCUGGCGGCAUGCCUUACACAUGCAAGUCGAACGGCAGCACGGGGCAACCUGGUGGCGAGUGGCGAACGGGUGAGUAAUGUAUCGGAACGUACCAUUGAGGGGGGGAUAACGUAGCGAAAGUUACGCUAAUACCGCAUAUACCCUGAGGGGGAAAGCAGGGGAUCGCAAGACCUUGUGCUCUUUGAGCGGCCGAUAUCAGAUUAGCUAGUUGGUGAGGUAAAGGCUCACCAAGGCGACGAUCUGUAGCGGGUCUGAGAGGAUGAUCCGCCACACUGGGACUGAGACACGGCCCAGACUCCUACGGGAGGCAGCAGUGGGGAAUUUUGGACAAUGGGCGCAAGCCUGAUCCAGCCAUGCCGCGUGAGUGAAGAAGGCCUUCGGGUUGUAAAGCUCUUUCGGCCGGGAAGAAAUCGCACAGGUUAAUACCCUGUGUGGAUGACGGUACCGGAAUAAGAAGCACCGGCUAACUACGUGCCAGCAGCCGCGGUAAUACGUAGGGUGCGAGCGUUAAUCGGAAUUACUGGGCGUAAAGCGUGCGCAGGCGGUUUUGUAAGAUAGGCGUGAAAUCCCCGGGCUCAACCUGGGAACUGCGCUUAUGACUGCAAGGCUAGAGUAUGGCAGAGGGGGGUGGAAUUCCACGUGUAGCAGUGAAAUGCGUAGAGAUGUGGAGGAACACCGAUGGCGAAGGCAGCCCCCUGGGCCAAUACUGACGCCCAUGCACGAAAGCGUGGGUAGCAAACAGGAUUAGAUACCCUGGUAGUCCACGCCCUAAACGAUGUCAACUAG
rnacentral:rRNA from 1 species